GCGGGGGUGCCUGAGCCUGGUCAAAAGGGCAGGACUUAAGAUCCUGUAGCCAUAGGGCUUGCGAGGGUUCGAAUCCCUUCCCCCGCACCA
rnacentral:tRNA from 1 species